rnacentral:rRNA from 1 species
CUACGGGCUGCUGCAGUGAGGAAUAUUGCGCAAUGGGCGAAAGCCUGACGCAGCAACGCCGCGUGAGCGAUGAAGCCCUUCGGGGUGUAAAGCUCUGUUAGAGGGGAUGAACAAUCAGCCAUCCGGCUGACUUGACAGUACCCUCAGAGGAAGCACCGGCUAACUCCGUGCCAGCAGCCGCGGUAAUACGGAGGGUGCAAGCGUUGUCCGGAUUCAUUGGGCGUAAAGGGUGUGUAGGCGGAAUGGUAAGUCGGAAGUGAAAUCUGUAUCGCUUAACGAACAGUCUGCUUUCGAUACUGCCAGUCUAGAGUGCAGGAGAGGGUGAUGGAAUUCCUGGUGUAGCGGUGGAAUGCGUAGAUAUCAGGAAGAACACCGGUGGCGAAGGCGGUCACCUGGCCUGUCACUGACGCUGAGACACGAAAGCGUGGGGAGCAAACAGGAUUAGAUACCCUAGUAGUC